UCUCCGUUGGUGAACCAGCGGAGGGAUCAUUACAGAGUUGCAAAACUCUCAAACUAUUUUGAACGUUACCUAUUCCGCUGCUUCGUCGGGCGGCCCGGUCCCCGCGCCCGGCGCCCCCCGGCCUCCCGUGGGCGCCCGCCGGAGGUAAACCCAACCCUUGAUUUGCAUGGCCUAUCUGACUCUUCUGUACUGAAUAAGUCAAAACUUUCAACAACGGAUCUCUUGGUUCUG
rnacentral:misc_RNA from 1 species